GUAUUUGAGCUAUAUAUAUAAAGCUUAAAGAUUCAUCCCAAUUCUUUCUCUUGCUAAUUUUCAGAACAAGAUGUUAAACAUGGAGUGAUACUAUUAUUUAUGGCAUAUCAAUUAUCAUCAUCUGCCGAAUAUUAAUGCAAUUGUACAUGCCUGCGUAUCUAAUCUGUGCAGAGAACAUCCCAGAAAUUUCGUCUGUUCAUAUGGAAGACCUUCGAACUGUUGUACGCAGAAACGAUCAGCCAACAAUGCAGCUUGCACUGGAAUGCAUUUCCGAGGUUAACAAAGCAAAUUACCUUCUUCUCACAACAGUGCAAGAAUUAGAAGCUGAAACAAUUGAUACCCUUAAAUCUAUAUUCCCCUUUCCAAUCUAUCCUAUUGGUCCUGCAGUACCUUAUUUAGAACUUGAAGAAAAAAUAUCGACGAACUCUAAUCAUAGCCACGACUAUAUAAAAUGGCUAGAUUCUCAACCAGCUGAAUCCGUAUUAUACAUUUCUUUUGGCAGUUUCAAUUCCGCAUCUAGUGCCCAAACGGACGAAAUCAUUGAAGCACUGAAAAAUAGUGAAAUUCGAUACCUUUAUGUGGCCUGCGGGGAAACGUCAAGGUUGAAAGACAAGUGUGGAGGUAAGGGAAUGGUGAUACCUUGGUGUGAUCAACUCAAGGUGUUGUCUCAUGCUUCUAUAGGUGGAUUUUGGAGCCAUUGUGGAUGGAAUUCAACUUUGGAAGCUGUUUUUUCUGGUGUACCAAUUUUGACAUUCCCUCUUGCUUAUGAUCAAUUUCCUAAUAGCACUCAAAUUGUUGAUGAAUGGAAAAAUGGGUGGAAGGUAGAGAAAUCAUCGAAGUUGGAGAGUGAUGUGUUUUUCGCAAAAGAAGAUAUGGAAGAGCUUGUGAAGAGGUUUAUGGAUCUUGAAAGCCAAGAGGGAAAGAAAAUUAGAGAUAGAGCAAGAGAACUUAGGAUUAUGUGUGGUAAGGCUAUUUGUAAAGGUGGAUCCUCAGAUAGGAACCUCGACGCAUUUAUCAGUGACAUUUCUUCUUGAAGGUUAUUGAUACCGAUUUCGAUUCCUACCGAUAUUUUUUUUCUUCUUCAAGGUCACUGAUGUGUCAAGUAGAUUUGGCUACACAAAAAAGAAAUGAACUAAUGGAGUGAAGGAUAUUGUAAUUGUUUGUAAGAAUGUAUUUAGACAAGUAACAUUGUAAAAUGUCAUAAAACUGUGACUGAAAUGCUCUUUGAUGGAUGAAUUUGUACUCAUACAUUCAGCAAAUUGAUCAUAUCAGAAAAAUGCAGUGUAUCUUCUCAUCAAUGUUUAAUACAAGGGAUACAUUUGUUUUAGAAGUAUAUAGUUGCAUAAUUCGCGAAGAUAAUGCUUUGAAUUACAGACUUUGUCGAUGGGCACAUUCGUACUUAGGAGAAACAUGAUCAAUGGAUGAGGUCAUGCAUUUUCAAAGUCAUAUCUCAUAGUGUGUUCGAAAAUAUUGUCCACGGACUUACAAUUUCAUGCCAUUAACCACACUCAGUUAUUUCAUACAUGAAAUUAGAAGUUCCCUCAAAACCAAAAACAAGAAUACUACGACUCAAAUUUUCGUCAAUAUCAAACAUCCAUUUCUCUCUCAAAAUUGCAAUGGAAUCACCACCAACUUCCUUCAACCAUAUACUGGCCAUGCCUUACCCUUCAAGAGGACACAUCAACCCCAUGCUAAGCUUCUGCAAAAUCCUAACAUCCCAAAAACCCAACAAAAUUCUCAUCACCGAGGAGUGGCUCACCAUUAUCGGCGCCGAUCCAAAGCCAGAAUCCAUCCGCUUCACCACCAUUCCUAACGUGAUCCCACCGGAGCGGGAGAAAGCAGCCAAUUUUCCUGGAUUAUAUGAAGCUGUCAUGACGAAGAUGGAAGCUCCUUUUGAGUAGCUUCUUGAUCAGCUUGAGUUUCCGGUGAAUGUGAUCGUUGGUGAUGUUGAGCUGUGAUGGCCUGUUGAUGUUGGUCAUCAGAGGAAUGUUCCGGUAUCGGCGUUUUGGACUAUGUCUGCAACGUUUUAUUCAAUGUUGCAUCAUCUUGAUGUGUUUUCAAGAAACCAUCACUUAACUGUUGAUAAACUAAGUAAUUUCUAAUUACUCAUUUGUUACUGCUGUGAUUAAUUUUAGUUCAUAGUUUAUUUCAUUAUUUAAUUUAAGGAGAGAAAAAACUACUUAUGAAUGUUUAUUAGCUGUUUCAGCUUAUUUCCAUACACUCUCCAAGAUAGCCUAUGCCUAUGUAAUUCUUAUUCGUAAGCGUUGAUAUGAUAAGCAUUGAUCCUCUAAGCCUGCAAUAUAAGUUGUUUAUCCAAAUAGGGCAUUAGUAUUAUUGUGUUGAUGCUCAGUUUAAGGUACAUUAUCCUUCAUUUUGUCCCCCUCUUUUUUCAUAGAUAAAAAAAUUUAGGUUAUUUGUAAACUUGUCAAGUUUAAAGCAGGUAGUUUUCAAAACGUGAUGUGAAACUACUUACUGCAUUGGUCAAGGACUACCAACAAUCUAGAAUAGCCACGCAAUUAUAAAUGGAAAAUUUGAAAUUUAGCAGGAAAGUUUUUAGCAAUAAGUACGAAUGUGGCUCGCGGGGAAACAUUGCGGUUGAAAGACAAGUGUGGAGAAUUCAAGGUAGAAAUCAUCAAAGUUGGAGAGUGAUGUGAUUUUUGCAAAAGAAGAUAUAGAAGAAUUGGUUAAGAGGUUUAUGAAUCUUGAAAGCCAAGAGGGAAAGAAAAUUAGAGAUAGAGCGAAAGAACCGAAGGUUGUGUGCUGUAAAGCGAUUGGUAAAGGCGGAUUUUCAGAUAGGAACCUUGACGCAUUUAUCAGUGACAUUUCAUAUUUCAUCUUGAAUGUCACUGAUAUCACUGGAGUCUAGCGCAAGUGAUUGGUGCAUAGUGUGUGUUAUAAACCAUAUGGUACCAAUUUUGAUUUCCACUAAUAAAAUAAAAUUCAAGGUCUCUGACGUGUUGAGUAGGUUUGGUUUAGUUACACAAAUAAGCAAUGCAAUAAUGGAAUGAAGGGUAUUGUAAUUGAAUGUGUAACCGAAUUGCUGUUUGAUAGAUGACUUUGUACUUUGAUCAUUUAAGAAAACUGCAGCAUGUACCAUAUGUGUAAUAACUCAUCAAUGUAGAAUAGUAGGGGAAGCAACCAAGUUGCCUGGGUUUUAGUGGCAAGGAGCUCCUUCCAAGGACGUACAUGGGGAAUACCAGGUUCGAUUCCCAGGGGGAACAACACUUGGCCAGGGCGCAUGCCUCUACGCACGAGCCGGAUUAGUCGCUCAUCUUUGGUGGAUAAGAAUUUUUUUUUUUGUUACUAGUUUAUGAUAUAUGUGAACAACUCAUCGAUCCAAUACAACAAUUUUUAAAGCAUUUUCUUUGUUGUUUUAUACAACUCUUAUCUCUAGAUCUAGCAUUAGAUACUACCAUUGACUAAUCACAUCAAACCACAAACAACUCAUCUUAUCUCUCAGUAGCCAUUCUCCGGCAAUGAAUUUCUCCGGCGACGACAUGUGCCACGUUAUGGCGAUGCCAUUUCCAGGAAGAGGACACAUCAACCCCAUGCUAAGCUUAUGCAAAUUCCUAAUCUCACGAAAACCCAACAACAUUCUUAUCACUUUUGUAGUCACUGAAGAAUGGCUUGGCUUUAUCGGCAAUGAUCCAAAGCCGGAAUCCAUCCGCUUCGCCACCAUACCCAACGUGGCUCCACCGGAGCAGGAGAAAACUAUAGAUAAUUUUCAUCUGUUUUAUGAAGCUGCCAUGACGAAGAUGGAAGCGCCGUUUGAACAGCUUCUUGAUCAACUUGAGUUGCCGGUGAAUGUGAUUGUUGGUGAUGUUGAACUGCGGUGGCCUGUUGACGUUGGUAAUCGGAGGAAUAUUCCGGUGGCAUCUCUUUGGACUAUGUCCGCAUCAUUUUACUCCAUGUUGCAUCAUCUUGAGGUCUUUUCACGUCAUCAACACUUAACUCAUGAUAAGCUGGGUAAGCAAUAGGAAUGUAGUAAAAAAGUGACAUUCAUGUAGUUGUUUUGGCUCAACCAUGGUUGUUGGAUUGAGAUCCGAGACUAUUCCAAUUUUAAAUACAAAAUAUUGACUUUGAAACGUCUGAUCUCGAUCCAAUAACUACACUUGUACUAAUUGCAUGAAAUUUACGAUUGUGGUCAAUCUGUCCUGCUAGUUAAUUAAUCAUUUGUUAGAUCUAUGCUUAAUUUUAGUUACAACUUUAUUUAUAUUUGAAGAAGAAAAAAACAUAAAUUUAAAUAAUAUGCAUCACCUGCAAUCUCGUAACUAUGGGUGUUCACGGGUAGGCAUGGCAAUGGGGCGGGGUGGGGACGGGUUUUACCUUCUCCGUCCUCAUACCCGAUUCUCAUAUAUUUACCUGUUACCUUACCUAUAUUCAACGGGAUGAGAAAUUGAAUCUCAUCCCCGUCCCCGACGGAUUCGGGUAUCCCUGCCCCAUCUCCGUCCCCGCAUUGAAUAAUUUUUUUAAUAAAAAAUAGAAGUUUUUUUGCAUCCCCAAGAACAACGUAGUAAUACAUUAUUCAACAAUACGCUCACUUUAACAUUGUUAGACGGAAUGAUUUAUUUGAUCCUUUAAAUAUCAACGGUAGUUUUUAUUAACAUGACAAUUAUCAAACAAAAUAACAUGGCAUAUCAACUUAAAGUAAUUUUUUACAUUUGGGACGGGUUUGGGUGUGUGUUCGGGGUGGGUACCUAUAUACCCGUUACCUGUCCCAUACUCGUGUUUUAAAAUCGGAGAAAACCCAUACUCAUACCCAAACCCAGUCAAAACGGGAAAAUCCGUCAAAUUGGGUUUGGUUCGGACGGAUAACCGUAGAUAUGGGUUUUGUUGCCAUGCCUAUUCAUGGGUCUAGGUGAUCCGUUCAAUCCAACCCAAAUAUUACCAAAUUUAUUCAAGUUUGGAUACAAUAUGAACAAACUCGUUCAAACCUGAGUUGUUUGGAAGUUUACGAGUUUGUCUGACUAGUGAAUAUCCCUACUCAUAAUGUUAUAGUUAAAAAUGUUUAACUUAAGUCAUAUGAUUUGUGAUUUUAGUUUUUGUUCACAGCAUACAAAAUUUUAAGUUGACCGUGGAUUAGAAUUAUUUUCAAAAAAUGUUCUAUGCUCAUUUUAAAAUUCUAUAAUUAUUCCAAUAUAUAGUUACUUUGACGUAAUGGAUUGGUACGAUAAAUAAGUGUGGUUAGGGGUUUCUUGAUUAGAGGAGACAACCCACUUUAUAUAUUGCUAAUCGCUAUUAUCUAACAAGUUUUCUACAAAGAUUAAAAGGUAAAACAUCAAUAAUAGUGUUUUGAUCCAGAGGUGAUCUAGAUCGUAGGUCGGAGUGGUGGAAGCACGAUAGAGGCAGAACCUCAGAGCGAGGCUGAGGGGUGUACUUGCAAUCACUAUCAAGUUAGUUUGUGAUUGGGAGUGUAAGGUUUUAGAGUUUAGAGAACGUGUAUCUUUAACUUGGAUCAAAUGUGUUUAUUUAUAUUAUUAUGAAAUCAGAAAAAUAGUGUAUUAUUGCAUAAUGGACCAUGGUUCAAUAGUUACAAGCUUAUUUAUAGGUAGCUGAGCAUGCACAAUAGGUUACAGUGGGAAUGCAUCAGGUUAUUAUAAAGGAAACUAAGCUAAGCUAUGUUACUUGGAACCUAAGUUAUCCUUAUUAGUGAUAUCAUGUAAUAUCCUCCCACAAGUUAGAGGUUGGUACGAAUCCAGCAACCCUAACUUGGAUAGAAGAGUGUUGAAAGGCUGAGGAAGCAAGGAUUUUGUGAAGAAAUCAGCAAUUUGAUCUUGAGAAGAAACAGGGAUAAGCUUCAUGAUGCCAACUUGAAGUUUUUCUCUCACCAGAUGACAAUCAAUCUCCAAAUGCUUUGUGCGUUCAUGAAAAACUGGAUUAACAGCUAUACAGAGGGCACUUUGAUUAUCACAAAAAAGGACAGGAAGCUUAGAGCAUUGAAUGUUGAGAUCCUUGAGCAAGUAGAGAAGCCAUUGAAGCUCACAAGUAGUGAAGCUAGAGCCUGAUACUCAACUUCAGAUGAGGACCUGGAAACAGUGAUUUGCUUCUUUGUCCUCCAAAAAAUCAAAGAGUGACCGGCUCUGAUACCAUAUUAUGAAAUCAGGAAAAUAGUGUAUUAUUGCAUAAUGAUUCAAUAGUUACAUGCUUAUUUAUAGGUAGUUGAGCAUGCACAAUAGGUCACGGUGGGAAUGCAUCACAGACAAAUUCCCACUGUAUAUUACACAUUUUUAGGGUUUUCUAGGUGGAACCUACCAAACCCUUUGGGUUGUUCUCGGCGUGAUAUGUGGAUCAUCGUUUGAUUGUCAUCAUGUGGCAUUGAUGGAAUCAGCGGAUUCACUUGGGUGUACUCUUAGGGAUUCUCAUAGCAUACUCCGUAGUCACUCGAGAUAUUAGCGAAUUUGGCUUGAAUCCAAUUAGAAAUGUUAAAUAUAUAAUACAUAGGAAAAAAAUAUUAUUGUGUUAGUGUUCAUUAUAAGCUAUAGGGUUCUAACUUUCAAACAAUUUUUUUUUCAAGAACAAAAUGGGGAAUAGAAAUUUAUUAUUAAUAAAAGUAACAAAUGAUUAUUUUACAACCCUGUGUGAGGAUAUUUUAAUAUUGUUUCUUAAGAUUAUAAAAUCGAGUUCUUAAUACUGAGGUGGAACCUCACAGACAAAUUUCAAAUAAUUAUUUAUAUUAAACUAGUAAUAAAUAUAGUUACUUCAUUUUUUUUUCCUUAGAAAAGGGGUAAGGAAAAUUUCUCUAAGUUAUGUAAGCUACUAAGCAUGUCAACUGUCAAGUUUAAGGCAUAUGUAAUUUCAAAUACCUUAAUCAUGCAUUAUGGUAACCAAUAUUUGUGUUAAAUUGUAUUUGAGCUAUAUAAAGCUUAACGAUUCAUUCCAAUUCUUUCUCUUGCUAAUUUUCAGAACUAGAUGUUAAACUACUUACUAUAUUGAUAAAAAAACUACUAACCAUCUAAAUAAAAUAGCCACAGAAUGAAUAGUAAAUUUAGAAUUUAGCAUGGAAAUAUUUUAUCAAUGAGCUGUCACAAGGAUAUUAGUCUUGACAUAUUUAAUAUGGAGUGAUACUUUUAUUUAUUGCAUAUAUAUCAUUAUCUGCUAAAAAUUAAUGCAAUUGUACAUGACUGCUUAUCUAAUCUGUGCAGAGAAUAUCCCUGGAAUUUCGUCUCUUCAUAUAGAAGACCUUCGAACUGUUGUUCGCGGAGACGAUCCUCAAAAUAUACAGCUCUCAUUGGAAUGCAUUUCCAAGGUUACCAAAGCAAAUUACCUUCUUCUCACAACAGUGCAAGAGUUAGAAGCUGAAACAAUUGAUACCCUUAAAUCUAUAUUCCCCUUUCCAAUCUAUCCUAUUGGUCCUGCAGUACCUUAUUUAGAUCUUGAAGAAAAAAAAACGAAAAACACUGACCAUAGCCACGACUAUAUAAAAUGGCUAGAUUCUCAACCAUCUGAAUCCGUAUUAUACAUUUCUUUUGGCAGUUUCUGUUCCACGUCUAGGGCCCAAAUGGACGAAAUCAUUGAAGCACUUAACAGUAGUGAAAUUCGAUACCUUUAUGUGGCCCACAGGGAAACAUCGAGGUUGAAAGACAAGUGUGGAGAUAAGGGAAUGGUGAUACCUUGGUGUGAUCAACUCAAGGUGUUGUCUCAUUCUUCUAUAGGUGGAUUUUGGAGUCAUUGUGGAUGGAAUUCAACUUUGGAUGCUGUUUUUUCUGGUGUACCAAUUUUGACAUUCCCUCUUGCCCAUGAUCAACACCCUAAUAGCACUCAAAUUGUUGAUGAAUGGAAAAAUGGGUGGAAGGUAGAAAAAUCAUCGAAGUUGGAGAGUGAUGUGGUUUUUGCAAAAGAAGAUAUGGAAGAGCUUGUUAAGAGGUUUAUGGAUCUUGAAAGCCAAGAGGGAAAGAAAAUUAGAGAUAGAGCAAGAGAACUUAAGGUUACGUGUCGUAAAGCUAUUGGUAAAGGUGGAUCCUCAGAUAGGAACCUCAACGAAUUUAUCAGUGACAUUUCUUCUUGACGCGUUAUUGAUACCACCAGAUUCUAGACUUCUCGUGCAAGUGGUUAAUGUGCAGUCUGUGUGAGUAUUGUAAACCACCAAUUUCGAUUCCUAUUGAUAAUUUUUUUUCUUCUUCAAGGCCACUGAUGUAUUGAGUAGAUUUGGUUCCGUUACACAAAAAAGAAAUGAACUAAUGGAGUGAAGGAUAUUGUAAUUGUUUGUAAGAAUGUAUUUAGACAAGUAACUUUGUAAAAUGUCAUAAAACUGUGACUGAAAUGCUCUUUGAUGGAUGGAUUUGUACUCUUACAUUAAAUUGAUCAUAUCAGCAAAGUGCACUAUAUAUGUAACAUUAUGAGUAUUUUCUUAUCAAUGUUUAAUAGAAGGGAUACAUUUAUUUUAGAAGUAUAUAGUUGUAUAAUUCAAGAAGAUAAUGCUUUGAAUUGCAGACUUUGUCGAUGGGUACAUCCGAACAUGGGAGAAACAUGCUCAAUGGAUGAAGUCACAUCUCAUCGUGUGUUCGAAAAUAUUUUCCACCAGCUUAAGUGUGAAGGUACACUUGUUUCUCUGAGACGAAAGUCCUUCAGGAUUCUCUUUCCAAUCAAAAUUAGGGGGAGUUAUGAAUUUUUGAAUUUAUGAAUUCUCUGAGACGAAGGUACACUUGUUUUGAAUUUUUGAGGAAGAAACUUGAUGUUUUUAACAUUCAGCAGUUAUGAAUUAAGGGGGAGUGUUAAGUGAUUAAUACAUAACUGCCUUGUAACAAAGUUAGUUAGAUUUUGUUUCAAAGUUUGUUAGUUGGUUAGCUAGCUUGUUCUACAAGCAAGUGCUAUUGAUGCCUAUAAAAAGCUUUGUAUUGUGUAACUUCAAACCUUAAUGAGAGUCCACAAUUCAUAGAAAUCUCUCUAUUCUUCUGUCUUUCAGUUUUCAGUUUUAUUUUGCUAUUUUCUCAUGUUGCUAAAACAGCUUAUUUGCAUAAGCACUUUUGCUGCGCAAAUAGAUCACAAUUUUGAUCUAACAAUAAGGGAGAUACCGUUUACCUGUCAGUUAAACAUGCUCAAUGGAUGAAAUUCUGCAAUUUCAAAGAUAUAAAAACACUGAAAUUGUAGAUGGAGAAUGCUAAGCACAAGUUUCUUUAUUGGAAUACAAUUUGUUCUUUUUUCUAUAUAAUCCAUUCACAUUGCAAAAUAUCUUGAACCCCAAUUAAAUUGAAAGGGAGGAAGGUCACAAUUUGGCUGGUUAAAAUGUUAUCAUACUUAAUUUUAAAAGUAACAUGGUAUUGGAGUGUUUAUUUGUCCAUCUAAAACUUAUUAUAGACCCAAUAAUUGUGAAUAGUACUUUAAUAUGCACAUGCUCCUAUGUAAUAAAAUACUACUAAGAGUUGUUUCUGUUACUAGUUUAUGAUAUAUGUGAACAACUCAUCAAUCCAAUACAACAAUUUUUAAAGCAUUUCCUUUGUUGUUUUAUACAGCACUUAUCUCAAGAGUUUAGCAUUAGAUACUAACAUUGACUAAUCACCAAACCACAGACAACUCAUCUCAUCUCUCAGUAGCCAUUUCUCCGGCAAUGAAUUUCUCCGGCGACGACAUGUGCCACGUUGUGGCGAUGCCAUUUCCAGGAAGAGGACACAUCAACCCCAUGCUAAGCUUAUGCAAAUUCCUAAUCUCACGAAAACCCAACAACAUUCUUAUCACCUUUGUAGUCACUGAAGAAUGGCUCACUUUUAUUAACGCCGAUCCGAAACCAGAAGCCAUCCGUUUCACAACCAUUCCCAACGUGGUUCCACCGGAGCGCGAGAAAACAUUAGAUAGUUUUCAUCGGUUUUAUGAAGCUGCCAUGACGAAGAUGGAAGCGCCUUUUGAGAGGCUUCUUGAUCAGCUUGAGUUGCCGGUGAAUGUGAUCAUUGGUGACAUUGAGCUGCGGUGGCCUGUUGAUGUUGGUAGUCGGAGGAAUAUUCCGGUGGCGCCUCUUUGGACCAUGUCAGCGUCAUUUUACUCCAUGUUGCAUCAUCUUGAGGUCUUUUCACGACACCAACAUUUAACUCAUGAUAAGCUGGGUAAGAAAUAGGAUUUCAUGUAGUAAACAAGUUGACACUUGAUACUUGGCUUAACCAUGGUCGUCGAAUUGAGAUCCGAUUCAAAAUUUAAAUACAAAAUCUUGAGUUUGAAAGUUGAACGUCACAAGGAUAUUAGUCUUGACAUUUAUUCUUCAAUCUCUAUUUUUGGUGAUUGGACAUAAUUAGUAUGCAGUGAUACUUUUAUUUAUUGCAUAUCAUCAUCUGCUGAAUAUUAAUGCAAUUGUACAUGACCGCAUAUCUAAUCUGUGCAGAGAACGUCCCAGGAAUUUCGUCUCUUCAUAUAGAAGACCUUCGAUCUGUUGUUCGCGGAAACCAUCCUCGAGCAAUGCAGCUCUCAUUGGAAUGCAUUUCCAAAGUUACCAAAGCAAAUUACCUUCUUCUCACCACAGUGCAAGAGUUAGAAGCUGAAACAAUUGAUACCCUUAAAUCUAUAUUCCCCUUUCCAAUCUAUCCUAUUGGUCCUGCAGUACCUUAUUUAGACCUUGAAGGAAAAAAAACGAAAAACAC
rnacentral:lncRNA from 1 species